rnacentral:rRNA from 1 species
UACGUAGGGUGCAAGCGUUGUCCGGAAUUAUUGGGCGUAAAGAGCUCGUAGGCGGUUUGUCGCGUCUGCUGUGAAAACUCAGGGCUUAACCCUGAGCCUGCAGUGGGUACGGGCAGACUAGAGGUAGUGGUCAGGGGAGACGGAAUUCCUGGUGUAGCGGUGGAAUGCGCAGAUAUCAGGAGGAACACCGGUGGCGAAGGGCGGUUCUCUGGGCAUUACCUGACGCUGAGGAGCGAAAGUGUGGGGAGCGAACAGG